CAAAGGGCCGGGGGCGGGGCCGCGGGAACUGCCGCGCGCUCGGGGUUCACUGCGCUGGCCUGGGGUGUAAGGGUCCUCACGCGAGUCAUAUCCCUCCCCCGGGGGGAAGUGACGGCAAAAACUAUCACUGACCCAUGACCUUCGACGGAGUAGGCCCCGUGUUGUUCUUUGUAUUACCCUGUUUCAUUCCCGAGGUAGUCCCAGCAAGUGGAUGCUGCUUUGAAAGGGUUGGUGCUUCUUGAACCAUGAAUCUUGUCUCACAGGCUUCUGGAUUUCUUGUCUCAAAAACAUUCCAGCUCUGAGUGCUGCGAAGCCGGCUGGGUCAUCUGCUGCGGCCGCCUUCCAGAUAUCAAGAACAGAGCACCUUUGAAUUCUUGAGGCCUUACUGCAGUACUCUAUUAUGGAAACGCUGAUCUAGAAAUGCAGAACUUCACUGCUCUCCUUUUAAGAAUUGCAAGAGAGUCAGAGAGAAGCCACAGUUUUCCAGAUCAGACCAGAUGAUAUGAUAACACCAAGCAGAAGAAAGAAAAAAUCAUACACAUUCAUUAUACACACAAACUCCUUACUCUGAAAUGGAUCUUUACUCCAAGAAGAGAAGCGUUCCAGUUUACCAUCUGCAGUGGUCAUUCACAACCCCUGAUCCCCAUGAGAAACCGC